AUCAUGCGUUCAUCUCAAUGAUUGCCCCACAGGAUGUUUCUCUGGGAUUGUCCUAGUGCCCGCCAUGUUGAUGCAUGCGGUGCGGAAUAUAAUUUCUUCUGGGUUUAUAACCGAUCUAUGUAUCUAUUUCUUGGGGUUUAUGACCACUUAUAGUUAAUUUGGUUCCGUCCAAAAAAAUUGAUGGAUGAACAAAAUAGAUUUUUCAUGCCGCUUGAUGGAUCAAAAAAUGGAUUAGAUAUAUUGCCCUAAUUCAUACAUAGAUCAAGUCUGUAUCAGGUCAAGACUCGUUGCAACUCAGCCUACUUUCUGCCCUAAAGAAGAUGUUGACAUAAAUGUUAAAUUGCGUGAUUUAAGGCAUGUGCCUAAUAGAAAGUCUGUUUCCAUCUAGAGCUAACUGUGACAUCAAACUCCUAGAAUCAUGCUUGGCUUUGAUGCUAUUCUUAACAGAUCACUUGUUCCAGAAGUUCCUCAUACCAGACUUAGUUAAAACCGGUUAACUGAAUCAGUUGUAAUAGUUUACAGCUCAAUUGUAUUCGAUCUUGAUCCCUAUAUAAGGGAAUGUAGUAAUCCCAGAAGUUUAUGAUGAAGUGAAUGAAAUUCUUUUCUCUCUGAAACUUCUCUCUGAAACUUCUCCCAGAAACUUUCUCAGGCAUUGUUCAUUGUAUCACAGAAGCUCUAUAUGGUAUGAGAGCAGGUUACUUUUCUCAUCAAAUUCCCACCCUCUUCCUUCCCAACUGCCGCUUGAAGCUCUAAAGAACCUGAUCUUGGAGACAGGGCAAUCCGCUUUUCAAUCAAGAAGUGGUUCAUAUCAUUUCCUUGCUGCUGUUAAAUCAAUGAAGAGCUGGAGCUUCACCACAAUAUAUGUCUUCAAGUUCAUUCACUCUGGAGGUAGUUCUACCAGAACUUGAAGAACAAAACGUCCCAGAAUCAAUGGAUAAUACGAGAACAAGAGAUGACACAAGGGAAUCUGAGGAUUUCGUUAUACCAUCCAAACUGAAAUUCUUGAUCUCUCGAAUAAAUUCCCUCGUUCCCACCCAGCUCACCGCAGAUAAUUUUCUCACCUGAAAAUCUCAGAUCAUCCGAUUGUUCAAAGCGAGCGGGUACCAUGAUUUUCUUGACGGAUCCUCAUCUUCAACCUCAGGUAUUUCAGCUGAUCCUGAAUACUGGUUGUUUCUUGAUCAGUUCUUGGCAUCAGCUCUACAUUCAACUAUCUCUCCAUCAAUUCUACCAUUUGUCAUAAAUCUGGCACACACGCAUCAGAUCUGGUCUGUUUUAGAACGUCGGUUGAAUUCAGUAACAAGAUCUCAUGUAAUUCAAUUAAAGAACGAGCUACACAGCAUCAAGAAAAAUGAGAAGACCAUGCAACAAUACUUGAAUCAUGUUAGGAAUAUCGUUACUGCUCUUGCAUCUGCCGGAUCUAAGCCUGAUACUGAGGAUAUUCUACUGCAUAUCCUGAACGGUCUACCUUCAUCGUAUGAUUCAUUUGCCACGGCUGUUAGAGUCAGAAGCUCUUCAAUUGAUCUGGAUGAGUUAUAUGCCUCCUUAGCAGUGAGGAAAUCAUUCAAAUAGCCAAGGACAAGCAGUCGACUAAUAUUGACACAAAUCUGGCACUUCUUUCUCUCCGUGGGAGAGGAAGAGGCCGAUUCUCUCCUGUUAGCAGAGAACUUUACUUCAGAGGCUGUGGUCGAGGUCGAUUCGGAAACUGGUUCCAGUCAGGCCGCGACAGAGAUCCUAGAAGUUUACCAGAAUGUCAAAUUUGUUUUAAGAGAGGUCACACAGCAAUAAAUUGCCGGCACAGAUUGGAUUCAAAUUUUUCAAAUGAAUCAUCUCGUUCCUCAUUCAGUCAGAAGGCUCUGCUUGCUAAUCCACCUGAGCUCUCAAGAACAUCUGAUUGGGUCGUUGAUAGUGGGGCUACAUCCCACAUGACCCCUGAUCCGUCAGUCCUUCAGAAUUCUACACCUUAUCAAGGACAUGAUCAUGUGUCCUUGGGAAACAACUCCACCAUUCCGAUUCACCAUACUGGUACAGGAAUUCUUCAAACACCAUCACAUAAUCUUCAACUGUCUCAAGUUCUUCAUACUUCCGGUAUUUCACAUAAUUUACUAUCAGUACACAAACUUGCCUGUGAUAAUAACUGCACUCUGAUCUUUAAUUCUUCUGGAUGCUCUAUUAAGGACAACAGAACGAUUCUUCACGGUCGAUGUACUGAUGGGUUAUACAGGUUCCCUUUUCAAUUUUCUAAACUUACUACAUCCAAUGCACAUAACUCACCAUCUGGUUCUACUGCUCUCCUAACCUCAACUACUUCACAUGAUACAUGGCAUCAAAGGCUUGGUCAUCCAGGCUCUGCUGUUCUUCGCACUCUUAUGACAAGGAAGCUUAUUCCUAGCACCAAGCAGUCUGACUUCUCCUGUCAGGCCUGCCGUAUGGCCAAAAGUUGCAGACUACCGUUUAAUAAAACAGUUCAUACUACUACAGCUCCCCUUCAGCUCAUCCAUUCGGAUGUUUGGGGGCCUUCCUCUGUUUCCUCACAGCAAGGGUUCAAAUACUAUGUUUUGUUCGUUGAUGAUUUUACCAGGUUUACCUGGGUCUUUCCGCUUCAAUAUAAAUCAGAUGUCUUGCCUACAUUUGUACACUUUAAGAGCUUGGUUGAAAAUCAAUUCACAGCUUCUAUUAAAGUUUUUCGUUCAGACAGUGGUGGUGAGUUUAUCUCCAAGAAAUUUUCUUCUCUGUUUUCUAAGCAUGGUAUUCUUCAUCAACGGUCGUCUCCUCAUACCCCAGAGCAAAACGGGGUUGCAGAGCGAAAGAAUCGACAUAUCCUGGAAUCUAUUCGAAGUCUUCUAAUUGCUUCUUCUCUACCUGUUUCUUUUUGGGUGGAAGCUCUAUUUACUUCUGUAUUCCUUAUCAACUAUUCACCAUCUCCUAUUUUACACAACAAAUCUCCUUAUGAGCUUCUACAUGGGCAUCCUCCGGACUAUUCUCUAUUUCGGAUCUUUAGGUGUAGAUGCUUUCCAUGGCUUAAGCCAUAUCAGCAAAACAAACUGGCUCCGCGUUCCCUUCCUUGUAUCUUUCUUGGGUACUCUACUCAAGACAAGGGCUAUCGCUGUUACAACCCUGCAACAGGUCGUGUUUUCAUAUCCAGGCACGUCCAGUUUGAUGAGCACAUUUUUCCUUUUUCUCAGGUAACCUCUUCCUCUUCAAGUCCACCGAGUGUUACCUACACCUUUGUUAGUUCCGGACUUUACAAUCUGUACUCCUCCAAUCCAUAUCCCCUUUGUUAGUUCCUUUCAAUCUCCUUCUUCUUCGUCUGUGUUGGCCACUGUCCGGUUACCUCCUAAUUCUCCCCACACUUCUUCUUCUCAUUCUACCAAUAAUCAUGAUACACCUUCAAUACCACAUCAUUUGUCACCCAUCAUCUCAACUGAUACACUUUCGUCUGUUUCCAGACCAGUCUGGCACCCUAUGAUAACCAGAUCACAAACUGGGUCUCUAAAACCUAAGGAAAUAUUUUUCCUUAACACAAAUACCUCUUCACUUGUUGAACCCACCUGUUACUCUGCUGCUGUUAUAGAUUAUAAUUGGCGUCAGGCAAUGUCUAUGGAGUUUAAUGCCUUAUUGGAUCAACGAACUUGGAGACUUGUCCCCAGACCAACCGAUCAAAAUGUUCUUGGGUGUCGAUGGACAUAUAAAAUCAAGAAACAUUCAGAUGGCUCUAUUGCACGGUACAAAGCACGAUUGGUUGCUAAAGGGUUCAAUCAGGAAUAUGGUGUUGAUUACAUCGAAACGUUCAGUCCGGUCGCCAAGUUUCAAACGAUCAGAGUUCUUCUUGUUGUUGCCUUGACAUCUAAAUGGCCUAUUAGACAACUGGAUAUCUCAAAUGCCUUUCUGCAUGGUACACUCAAUGAAACGGUGUUUAUGGAACAGCCGCUGGGUUUUGUUGACUCCUCCUGCCCUCAGCAUGUUUGUCUUUUUCAGAAAGCUCUGUAUGGGCUGAAACAAGCGACACGUCAAUGGUUCUCCACUUUCUCUUCAUUCCUUCUUGAGCAAGGCUUUACCAUUAGCAAGGCUGACCCCUCUCUAUUUCUCUUUGAUUGCAAGAGCAUCCAUAUUUACAUUCUAAUAUACGUUGAUGAUAUACUGUUAACUGAAAAUAAUAGGGGUGCAAUUGCUGAUCUUCUGCUCAGACUUCAGCUCAGGUUCAAAGUGAAGGACUUGGGAACUUUGUCUCAGUUUCUAGGGGUUCAGUCCGUCUUCUCUUCUCAAGGUGUCUCUCUUCAUCAGCAGCAUUAUGCAAAUAUUAUUUUGCAACGAGAUGGGUUAGAACACUGUAAACCUGUGGCUUCUCCCUUACCUACAAAGCAUUUCAUCUCCUCUGCAGAUUCUGUCUUAUUUUCUGAUGUUGCACUCUAUCGACGACUUGCCGGCUCCCUUCAAUAUUUGACUAUUACUAGGCCCGAUCUUACUUUUGCAGUGAAUUAUCUAUGUCAAUUCAUGCAUAAGCCGUUGAAUUCUCACUAUCAGCUGCUUAAAAGAGUGCUUCGUUAUGUGAAAGGAACGCUGAAUUUUUCACUGCACUAUCGUCCCAGUUCUUUAGUCCUUACCGCCUUUUGUGAUUCGGAUUGGGCAGGUGACCCCAUUGAUCGCAAGUCCACGACUGGCUUCUGCGUUUUUCUAGGCGAUAAUCCUUUUUCUUGGUACUCCAAGAAGCAACCUACUGUUGCCCGAUCCUCUACGGAGGCCGAAUAUAGGGCAUUAGCCAUUACAUCUACUGAGCUCAUAUGGCUUCGCCGGUUACUACAUGAAUUUCACAUUCCUACUACCACUCCCACUGAGCUUUUGUGUGAUAAUGUAUCUGCUUUAGCACUUGCCACUAAUCCGGUUUUUCACGCGCGAACCAAGUAUAUUGAAAUUGAUUAUCACUUUGUAAGGGAGAAGGUGAACUCGGGUGAAAUCAAACUCAGUCACAUAUCUUCUAUAUAUUGAUCAACCAGCAGACUUGUUUACGAAAGCCCAUUCUUCUCAGCGGCAUAAUCUCUUAUGUUCCAAGCUUCAAGUUCUUUCGACCUCUCAGCUUGAAGGGGGGUCUUGACAGAUCACUGGUUCCAAAAGUUCCUCAUACCAGACUUAGUUAAAACUGGUUAACUGAAUCAGUUGUAACAGUUUACAGCUCAACUGUAUUCGAUCUUGAUCCCUAUAUAAGGGAAUGUAGUAAUCCCAGAAGUUUAUGAUGAAGUGAAUGAAAUUCUUUUCUCUCUGAAACUUCUCCCAGAAAUUUCUCAGGCACUGUUCAUUGUAUCACAGAAGCUCUAUAGCUAUCAAGGUUCUUCACCACCCAAAAAUCGAUCUGCGUCUAUUUGCAGCUUCAUCAGAGCAAAGAAACUUUUGGCGGCACUGGAGACCUAACUUGACGGCAUCCCAAGGAAAGAAGCCCACCAUUUUCAUGGGCACAUUUCAUGAUUAUUCCAAAGAUAAUUGGAUCUACGGAGUGCAUGGUUAUUGGCAAUUUCAUUAUUUGUGGCAUCCAAAGCCAGAGUUCUACUCAUUUGUUAGGUAUCCAACACUUACGGACAGACUAAUUCAUAAGGAACACGGGAAUUCAAUUAUUUAUUGAAAUAUUUUAUCAAAUUCUCAGCAAUCAUUCUGCAUGUACUGAAAGCCAACACUUUGAAUGAGUUGUCCUCAACUACUUGGUACAAGGGUGGUAACAUCCCUAUCAUGUUCAAGAGAUGCCUUAACAAUGUCAUCGUGGUAGGACCAGCAAGAAUCUUGAAUACAUGCUUGUCUGUAAACAUAAUUCAUGAUUCAUGGAUCUUAAAGUAUUGUGUUGAUCUCCCAGAGUUUGGAUGCCUCUCACCUCUGCAGUUUGUCAAUCGUGAUAACCUUAGCGUUCUCACCUUGCAACUAUGAAGGAUACCGAGCCAAAACAAUGACACCAUCUCCCCCAUCUAGCCUUCAGAGCUCAGGCAUCCAAUGCUUAUUGCUUGACUUCAUCACGCCAUUGUCUCCGUUUUCCUCCUCGUUAAUGAUUCUCCUUUGGUUGGUUAUCCAAACCAUCCAACUUUUCGCUUCGCUUUUUUUUUGGUAUCAUAUUUUGCUUCAUCGUUUUAAUCUAUUCUCAUGGUCUCCAUCAUUAGUUCAUUUGCUUGGACUCGUUUAUGAUGCCUACUUAGAACCAACGUGUCUCCACAUGGAGUUAGUCCACAUUUGGACCCCCAAGCUAACCUAUAUAUAUAUAUAUAUUCAUGAAUAUUGCACCGAAACCCACGAAAUAUCUCGAGUUCUAAGGAGAGAUUUCACCCCACCAUCUUGUUACUAGUGAUUUCCGAAGCACAAAACUUCGAUGGCGGAACAGAUGCCCAUCAUCGCUGCUGGCCGCGCGGCCGAGCCGGUUGACGGAGCGGCGAAGGAUGACAUGCAGAAGGCUCCUGCUGAACAAGCUCAGGAUAAGAAUAGUGCUCUUGAAAAGCUAAAGGUUGACGGCUCUGACUCUGGUUCUAGUCCUGAAAGAGACUCAGUAAGAUUCACUCGUUAUAACAUAUGCAUUAUAUUCCUUUAUUCUUUAUAGGAAUGCAGUUGGAAUAUGUUAUUCUACUGCCUCUAUCACAGUUGAAGCUAUUAUGAAUUGAUCGCUACCGCCAUUCUGCUUGGAUACAGGCAAGAGGUGAUGACAGCUCUGAUGGAGAAAAAAACAAAAAGAUGGUAGCGAAGGAGAGGGAUAAGAAGAAGGCAAGUGGAGAAAAGAAAGAAAGGAAACUCCUAGGUGAUAGCUCUGACUCUGACACUGGUGACUCCGCCUCUGGCUCGGCCUCGGCCUCCGCCUCAGCCUCUGACGACGGCUCCGCCUCCAACUCCGCCUCUGGCUCGGCCUCAGCCUCUGACGACGACUCCGCCUCUGACUCGGCCUCAGCCUCCGACGACGACUCCGCCUCCAACUCCGCCUCUGACUCUGGUUCUGGUUCUGAUUCUGACAAAGUAAGAUAUAGUCAUGAUAACAACGAAAUAAAACUUCAAGCCAUAGUAUAGAUUGUAUAUAUAUAUUUGCCUUGUCUUUUGAUGAUGCAACACCUAGGUAAAAAAUGUUUAAACCACUACUUUCAUGCCAUAGACAUGAAAGAAGUAGGAUAGCCAUGUACAUUGCCUUUAUUUUUUUUAAUCCUAUUCUCAGACAGGUAAGUAAUCAUGGCCGUGAACCUAUUUAGCCUUCUAUUUGUUUUAUUUUUUUCUAUCUCUAAAAAAUAAUAAAAAACGGUUGAUUGGUCAAGGGGUCGCUCGACUUUGAAACACAUUGAGGUCGGAUGACAAUUUGACCAGCGAGAGUUAUAGCCAUCAUAUAUACAGAGCUUCUAAUAACAUGGAAGAUUCAGAAGAUGGGCCUUAAUUUAUCACUUUGAGCUUAAUAAACAACUGAAAUAGUUGAGCGAACAAGUUAUUAGAUCAAGCUCUUAAGUUCUUCCUCCCUGGUCAAAUUAAAUUAUUAUGAACUGCUCGACCGGCAUUGUUUUCUUGAACACAGUCAAGCAGUAAAGCAGUGAAGAAGGAUAAGAAGAAGAAAAAGAAGGGGCUAAUGGAGCAGAUUAAGGAGAAGCUCAGCAAGAAAAGCGAGGAAGGAGUGGAGGUUCCCGAAAAAGCUGUUGACAAGCUGGAAUGUAAGAGCAACGACUCUGCCUCCGACUCAGAAUCCGGCGAGGAUUCUAAAUCCGGCCAGGUAGCAUUUCUUCAUAAAUAGAAUGCAGAAAACCGUUCACUUUCGAUCAUGAAUUUAUAUUGCCAUCUUUUCUGAUGACACACCAAGAUUUUCGCUUGCUUAUGCAAUUGCUAUAGUGAGAAAUAAACAAGAAGUUGUCAUAUUACAAGCAUUAAAACAAUUCAAUUUCACAUGUCAUUUAAGUUUGAGGUGCAUCAAACUUCCUUCGACACUAUGCUACAACCCUAUUUGCAAAGUAUUUAAUCUUUUGCUGUGAGUUUUCCUUUUUAAAAAAUAAAAGGAAGCUUAAUGUUUGAUUUCUUGUGCAUACUCGGUCGAAUCUGGUCUCAAGUAUGCAGACUUAUAAGAUGGAACAAUAUUGUUGCCAUAUUUAUCACUCAAGUUGGUCACUGCAUAUUUUAUCUUUGGAGCACAAGAAUAUUGGAGAUCAUUAUUUAAUUAUGCAAGAGAUACUUUUUUUUCCAUUUUCUUUUUCUUUGUGAUGUAAGAGAUGGCAACAUCUAUCAACAUUCAUGCAAGAUGUCAUUUCUAGAGCAAACAAACCCUUUAUCUUUGGGAUUGAUGAUGUCAAGAGUUGAAUGGCCAAUGAUUAAUUUUGCCCUAAAACUCCUAGGGCAAUAUAUAUUACUGCUUCCAUGCGUGCAGCAGCGUAGUUAGGACACUUGCAAUGCUUGUAUUGAUCCUGUUCUAUUGGAAUGUUUUUCGAUACAGUUAAUGGAGGACGACAAAUCUAAAACAGAGGAAAAGGAAGCACAGGAGAAGGCACAGGCAGAGCCUAGUGAAGGGACUGGAGAAGACACGCCAUCAGUAGCACCAGAGAAAACCAUGGAAGUGGAGGAAACCCGAGAAGAGAAGGGCAUCUUGGAGAAGAUCAAGGAAAAGCUAACUGGCGAUCAUGAGCAGACCCAAGGGCAUUAAGAAGCCUGAAGGUGGCAGGCAAAGUGGGAUGGACGCAAGGGAAUAUAGUAAAAAGCAUCAUUCCAGCUAUCAUAAAAGCAAUAAAGUGUGAGAAGGUCAAGGAGGGCACUUCGAAGGCAGCUUUUCUUCUAUGAUUACUGUAAUGCAAGGUUUUUAAUUAUCUUUUAAAUUUGCAUGUGUGGUGAUUAGUUGAACUCCCCCUCCCCCUCUCCUUAAGUGUGGUUUGUGAUAACAUGAUACAAAUAAUGUAAUGAAUUAUGUAUGGGUGUCCAUGUAGUCUUCAUCAAUAUGCAUAUCAAUAAUAUGAUUGGUUAUUUUAUGUUAUUCGGUGUUCGUAGUUGGACCUUUGAAUUCAGUUUGGGCAAGGAGAGCUCGCUUCAUGCAUGAGGUUGGCCGGAAAUGGAGUUGACUUGUGUUCCUUCUUGUUCUAGCUUUAAGAUCCUGAGAAACCCUCACCCUUCCCAUUCUCCUCCAGUCCUCCUCCUCGUGCUCUUCUUGGCAGCAUGACGGGAUUGUCUUCCUCUUCGUCAGUUUCCUUUGCCCAUCCUCUUCCUCCUCUCCCUCUUCCUGGCUUCUCUCAUUGUCCACUUCUUCUUCAUCAUAGUGCAAGUUAAAUUAAACCAAUAACAAUUACCUCAAAAACACCUCAAGAUUUUUAAUAAAUUUGUUUUUGUUAUUCCUGUGAGGAUCCGUGCAAGCGUGUGUUUAGUCUCAUAUCGGUUAUUCGUUGGGUAGAUUUUGGGUACUUAUAUAGGAUUAAGGAACCCAAAUAAUUCCUUUCGGCUAGCCAUUUUGGGUGAGGUCUUAGGUUGUUAUAAAUGACAUCAGAGCAUACCCAACCCAUAAUCUAUAUGGACUAGAGGACACUGCAACAUGAAUUCAUUAGGGCUGACUACGAGCCAGUCGUGGGGUUUGUGAUUAGAUUUGAAUAGAUUUGAACUCCUAGCCUGACGAGAACGUCAGAGCUUGAACGAAGGGAGUAUGUGAGGACCCGUACAAGCGUAUGUUUAGUUCCAUAUCAAUUAUUCGCUGGAUAGAUCUUGGAUACUUAUGCAGGAUUAAGGAACCCAAAUAAUAUUUUUCGGCUAGCCAUUUUGGGUAAGGUCUUGGGUUGUUACAAUUCUUUUUUUAUUUUUCAAUUCUUAAAUAGUUAUAAUUUAAAAGGUUAAAUGUAAAAAAUACUAGAAACAAAGAAUCAAUCACCAACUUAUUUUGAGUGAAAUAAAAUAGAGUGGUAUCAUUCUAGAUGUUGUAAUUAAAAGAAAAAAAAUGUCUCUUGAUGACACAAUUACUUUGUUAGGCACAAAGAAAAACAAGCACAAGACGUAGUGAUCCAUCCGUAGCUCAAGCAUAAUUUAAGAGAAAACUAUAUGAAAAAGGUUAAUAGUUUCCAUUUCAAAUGAAAGCUUAGCAACUACUUACGUUAGUAUAGAGAAGUGAGAUGCGUCAUUAAUUACAAGAGCAAAUCAGUUUAUAAAAUAAAUACAAUCAAUGCAUAUAUCAAUUAAAUUAAAUAAUUAAUGCAAUAACACAAUUGAGCCAAUCACAGUUUGCUCCUUUCUUCACUUGCUUAGCUCGUGGAACAAAAAAAGAUGUGAGAUUUGAGAUGAAAGAGCUGUUAAUUAUGCAUGUGGGAACACAAAGAAUCUGCUGGAACUUUCCAAAUUUUCAGGCCUUUCUUCAAACUUUUUUUUACCAUCGAAGAACCCAUAUGUUGGCAUCCUUUGCCUGCCAAAUAUUUAUUUUAUAUUUUAACUAAGUAUGAAUUCUAGUAGAUUAGUAAAUGAAUCCACCAGGAUUCUUUCAUCCCUCUAAUUCUUAGAAACUUGGAGUUUUUUUUUUCCUAUUAUCUAAAUAGCAUAUGCUAACAUUCCUCAACUUUUUAGCAAACUUUUCUUCCAAAGUAAUUCCUUCUCUCUUUUUAUCAUUUGUUACUUCUUGUCCUUCAACUUUGCGCUAAUAGAUUCGCUUUUAUUGAAUUGUGAUUCAUUUUUAGUUUUGAACAUGUUCCGAAUGGAGAAAAUCUCGUCUUAAACCUCUUUCGAUAAUCUUGGAAAGGAAAGAUGUUGGUUUGUUCCAACAUCCCAAUGUUUAAUAGGAACAUAAUACAUUUGUUAAUAGUACUGCACAUAAUGUUAGAAGUUAUACCCGAAGCUAAAUAGUUUAGAUAACAUGUCGCACCGAGCAUAACAUGUAAACACUGUCACUAAAAAAACCUAAUAAUUGGUCAUCAAAAUUGCACUAAACGCAUCAGUUGCAUGUAAAAAUUGUUGCUUGAAGUAUCUAAAGAAAAGGUUUUAGACUUCCAAUAAAUCUUAAACUUAUCAUAAUAAUUGCAAUGCAUUGUUCAAAUGAGUUGCGUUGCAUUGCACAACAACGUUAAGUUUUUUGUAGAAGAAAGCCCAUUAACCACUAUCUUAGCCCACUUAAGAGUAUGAUACACGUUACCGGCCUCAUGUCCCAUUAAUGUAAGACGUACUCGUACAAUAAAAUAUGGGUCGGAUCCAGGAGCCCAAGCCCAAGUCUGAUCCAACUGCUGGGCUGGACUCUACUUGGACUCCAUGCAUGAAAAUCUAGUUGCCAUAGGGCUCGGUCAUGCACUCAGCCAUCACCAACUGAACCAGUUGACAAUCUUGAUACAUUUUUUUUUAUCAAUAUAUUGUCCAAAACUUUUUAUUCAUCCUUUGACACUCCUUAGUUCUCAUAUGUCACUUGCGAUCUCCAAAUCUCUCAAUUUUUACUUUUGUGAUCUUCCAUCUCACUCGAUACAGAAAAAUUAUGAGCAUUUGAAUACCUUGCUUUGGACCAUGCAUAUGUUUGAUCAGAAUUCAAUAUGUGAGAAAGAAGAAUACAUAGAAAAGAAGAAUAUUUCCAGAAACUUUUCUAUGGGAUCAUUACGUAUAUUUAUAGUUGAAAAUAUAAAAAUAAUAAUACUAAUAAAUGGGCCUAGGAUCAAUUCUAAAUUCAUUUUACGUAUAAAAUUCAAAAUUCAAACUUUAAAUUUAAAAAUAUAAAACUUUUUAAAUUAUAGAUCUUUGGUUUAUGGUUUGAUAUGGUGGUGAAAACAAGAUAUCGCCAACACAAUUCUAAAGAAUAAAAAGCCUAUAAUAAGAAGUCAAAGAUCUCACUCUCUAAAUUCCCUUUCCUAAAAGGUAUGCAAAGCGAGGGGAGGAACUGCACAAUCUUGGACAAUAAUUCCAGGAUCUUAAUUUUAGGACUUGGGAAGCAGCGAGUUGCCGUUUCCACAAGGAACGCCCUCAAGGGGUUCAGCCCUCUUGGAAAGGUAACAACUUAUGGCCAAUAGAACCACAGAAGCUCAUCAACUUAGCUUCAUUUUUUCUUCAUGUACUUGUGGGGAUUUGACAUUAGCCACACCUUAAGAAGACUAAAGUAGGAAGAAAACUUGGGACAUCAGGGCGGCAGAAGGGCCUUCCCUCGAACCUAAUCCACUCAACUCUCUGUCCUUUACGCUGACAGCCAACAGCAUUACAUCCUUUUCAGCGAAAAGUAGUACUCUAAAAAGCAAGCCAUCUGUCUCCUGAAAAAAAUUAUUGCAUGUAACUGCAUGUAUCGACAUGAUUGCGUUUGCAGUCGAUCACUAUUGUUGAUUCCCACUGCCAUAUACUAAAGUACACAUUUGAUGAAUAAGGUUUACAGAAACCAACAACCAUGAUAAGUUGCAUGCAUGAACGCAUGAUGUAUGCAGCUUAGACAACGAUUUCUGAAAUUUCUGUAUAAAAAAGGUCAUAAUUAUUGAUCUGGUAAGAAAAAAACUAUUCUUUCAAUAUUUACAAGAAAUGAUAUAUUUAGUAUUUUCUAAUGAUUUUGUUUCUAAAUCUAACUACGGGAGAUUGUAGACUAAACAAAUAUAUAUUGGUAUUGAAAAUGUAUAGGAUAUUUUUAAAUUUCAUAUGUCUUGUAUUUAAAUUCAAGGAUAAAAUCAUUAAUCGUAGAAAAAACUCAAUUAUUUUCUAACAAAUUAACAAAUAAAUAACUUAUUCAUUCUUUUUUCAGCCCUCUCUCUGAACAUGAGCACAUAUCUUUACUAUAAGUUUCUUUUCCAUUCUUCUCUCUCUUAUAUGGGCAUCGUAACUAGUCAUGGGCGUAUGGUUUGUCUUGAUGGAUAUAGAUGUCUAUUUUAUGUGUAUUUCAAUCUAAUGAUGCUACCUUCCGCCUUCAUUUUGGCAGGCAGCUUCGGGCAGAGUUGUCAACAAUCGGGUAUUAGAAUUUGGAAGGAGUCGAUGUAGGUCGAGUCGUUGGACCUGGAGUGGCUGUAGCCUUGGAGAUG
rnacentral:lncRNA from 1 species